AUCGGGGAUGUUAGCUUGCUAAUAUCUGCCGGCGACCGGCGCACGGGUGAGUAACGCGUAUGCGACCUGCCCGUCACAGGGGGAUAAUCCGGAGAAAUCCGGUCUAAUACCGCAUAAUAUCGUGAAGCUGCAUGGUUUUGCGAUUAAAGGAGCGAUCCGGUGACGGAUGGGCAUGCGUGACAUUAGCUAGUCGGCGGGGUAGCGGCCCACCGAGGCGACGAUGUCUAGGGGUUCUGAGAGGAAGGUCCCCCACACUGGUACUGAGACACGGACCAGACUCCUACGGGAGGCAGCAGUGAGGAAUAUUGGUCAAUGGGCUUACGCCUGAACCAGCCAAGUCGCGUGAGGGAAGACUGCCCUAUGGGUUGUAAACCUCUUUUGUCAGGGAGCAACGCCGGCUACGUGUAGCCGGACUGAGAGUACCUGAAGAAAAAGCAUCGGCUAACUCCGUGCCAGCAGCCGCGGUAAUACGGAGGAUGCGAGCGUUAUCCGGAUUUAUUGGGUUUAAAGGGUGCGUAGGCGGAAUGCCAAGUCAGCGGUAAAAUCGCGGGGCUCAACCUCGCUCCGCCGUUGAAACUGGCGUUCUUGAGUGGGCGAGAAGUAUGCGGAAUGCGUGGUGUAGCGGUGAAAUGCAUAGAUAUCACGCAGAACUCCGAUUGCGAAGGCAGCAUACCGGCGCCCAACUGACGCUGAAGCACGAAAGCGUGGGUAUCGAACA
rnacentral:rRNA from 1 species